UGUUAUUUGGGGUUCAGGUGUUAUUUUAGGGGGUUCAGGUGUUAUUUCUGGGGGUUCAGGUGUUAUUUUUGGGGUUCAGGUGAUGUUUUUGGGGUUCAGGUGUGAUGUUUUUGGGGUCCCUCACGUAUUUGGCGAAGAAGGAUUUCUGCUCCUGCGGGUUCAGGUGUUAUUUUAGGGGGUUCAGGUGUUAUUUUUAGGGUUCAGGUGAUAUUUUUGGGGUUCAGGUGUGAUUUUGGGGUGUCCCUCACGUAUUUGGCGAAGAAGGAUUUCUGCUCCUGCGGGUUCAGGUGUUAUUUUUGAGGGGUACAGGUGCUAUUUUUGGGGUUCAGGUGUUAUUUUAGGGGGUUCAGGUGUGUUUUUGGGGUCCCUCACGUAUUUGGCGAAGAAGGAUUUCUGCUCCUGCGGGUUCAGGUGUUAUUUUAGGGGGUUCAGGUGUUAUUUUAGGGGGUUCAGGUGUUAUUUUUGGGGUUCAGGUGAUGAUUUU